GGCAGACGGGUGAGUAACGCGUGGGAAUCUACCUUUUGCUACGGAAUAACGCAGGGAAACUUGUGCUAAUACCGUAUGUGUCCUUCGGGAGAAAGAUUUAUCGGCAAGAGAUGAGCCCGCGUUGGAUUAGCUAGUUGGUGGGGUAAAGGCCUACCAAGGCGACGAUCCAUAGCUGGUCUGAGAGGAUGAUCAGCCACAUUGGGACUGAGACACGGCCCAAACUCCUACGGGAGUCAGCAGUGGGGAAUAUUGGACAAUGGGCGCAAGCCUGAUCCAGCCAUGCCGCGUGAGUGAUGAAGGCCCUAGGGUUGUAAAGCUCUUUCACCGGAGAAGAUAAUGACGGUAUCCGGAGAAGAAGCCCCGGCUAACUUCCUGCCAGCAGCCGCGGUAAUACG
rnacentral:rRNA from 1 species